rnacentral:rRNA from 1 species
GACGAACGUUGGCGGCGUGCUUAAUACAUGCAAGUCAACUGAAGCAGUGGUAGCAAUAUCGCUGUGGAGGUGGCGCACGGGUGAGUAACACGUAGGUAAUCUGCCUUCAGGUCUGGCAUAACUCCGGGAAACCGGGGCUAAUAGCAGAUGAUGCAGCGGCUCGACAUCGAGACAGUUGUUAAAGCUAUGGCGCCUGAAGAUGAGCCUGCGUCUGAUUAGCUAGUUGGCGGGGUAACGGCCCACCAAGGCAACGAUCAGUAGCUGGUCUGAGAGGAUGAUCAGCCACACUGGAACUGAGACACGGUCCAGACUACUACGGGAGGCAGCAGUAAGGAAUAUUGCUCAAUGGGAGAAAUACUGAAGCAGCAACGCCGCGGGAGGGACGAAGGGCUUUUGCUUGUAAACCUCUGUAGUGAGAGAAAAAAAUCCCAAUCUUUGGGACAUGAUGGUAUCUCAAAAGUAAGCCCCGGCUAACUACGUG